rnacentral:ncRNA from 1 species
ACCACUAGGGGAGCCGUUUUGGCUGAGACAGAGUAAUCUGGACCCUUUGAACCUGAUCUAGUUCAUACUAGCGUAGGAAAGUGGAGU